rnacentral:rRNA from 1 species
UUAGUCAUAUGCUUGUUUCAAAGAUUAAACCCUGCCUGUUUAAGUAUAAACCAUCUAUACUGUGAAACUGCGAAUGGCUCAUUAAAUCAGUUAUAGUUUAUUUGAUAGUACCUUUACCUGGAUAACCGUGGUAAUUCUAGAGCUAAUACAUGCCAAAAACCCCGACUCCGGAAGGGGUGUAUUUAUUAGAUAAAAAACCAAUGCCCUCCGGGGCUCCUUGGUGAUUCAUGAUAACUUAACGAAUCGCAUGGCCUUGCGCCGGCGAUGGUUCAUUCAAAUUUCUGCCCUACAACUUCGAUGUAGAAGCAAA